rnacentral:rRNA from 1 species
UACAGAGGGGGCAAGCGUUGUUCGGAAUUACUGGGCGUAAAGGGCGCGUAGGUGGCCUUCUAAGUUGAACGUGAAAUCCCUGGGCUCAACCCAGGAACUGCGUCCAAGACUGGGAGGCUUGAAUCCGGGAGAGGGAUGCGGAAUUCCAGGUGUAGCGGUGAAACGCGUAGAUAUCUGGAGGAACACCGGUGGCGAAGGCGGCAUCCUGGACCAUUACUGACACUGAAAAGCGAAAGCCAGGGGAGCAAACGGG